rnacentral:rRNA from 1 species
GACGAACCGUGCAAACGUUGUUCGGAAUCACUGGGCUUAAAGGGCGCGUAGGCGGGCAAGCAAGUCGAAGGUGAAAUCCCCACGGCUCAACCGUGGAAGUGCCCCCGAUACUGCUUGUCUUGAGGGAGAUAGGGGCGUGCGGAACUUCCGGUGGAGCGGUGAAAUGCGUAGAUAUCGGAAGGAACACCGGUGGCGAAAGCGGCGCGCUGGAUCUCUUCUGACGCUGAGGCGCGAAAGCCAGGGGAGCAAAGCGGG